rnacentral:rRNA from 1 species
GGGUCAGUAGGUUGGUCGUGCCACCGGUACGUACUGGUCUCACUGAUUCCUCCUUCCUGAAGAACCGUAAUGCCACUAAUUUGGUGUUGCGGGGAAACAGGACUGUUACUUUGAAAAAAUUAGAGUGUUUAGAGCAAGCUAACGCUUGAAUACAUUAGCAUGGAAUAAUGAAAUAGGACGAUCGAUCCUAUUUUGUUGGUUUCUAGGAUUGACGUA